GAAAUGCGAUAAGUAAUGUGAAUUGCAGAAUUCAGUGAAUCAUCGAAUCUUUGAACGCACCUUGCGCUCCUUGGUAUUCCUUGGAGCAUGCCUGUUUGAGUAUCAUGAAAUCUUCAAAGUAAAUCUUUUGUUAACUCAAUUGGUUUCUACUUUGGUAUUGGAGGUCUUUGCAGCUUCACACCUGCUCCUCUUUGUUCAUUAGCUGGAUCUCAGUGUUAUGCUUGGUUCCACUCGGCGUGAUAAGUUAUCUAUCGCUGAGGACACUGUAAAAGGUGGCCAAGGUAAAUGCAGAUGAACCGCUUCUAAUAGUCCAUUUACUUGGACAAUACUUUUAUUAUCUGAUCUCAAAUCAGGUAGGACUACCCGCUGAACUUAAGC
rnacentral:misc_RNA from 1 species